AUUGAACGCUGGCGGCAGGCUUAACACAUGCAAGUCGAGCGGGGUGAUGUAGCUUGCUACAUUACCUAGCGGCGGACGGGUGAGUAAUGCUUAGGAAUCUGCCUAUUAGUGGGGGACAACAUUCCGAAAGGAAUGCUAAUACCGCAUACGCCCUACGGGGGAAAGCAGGGGAUCUUCGGACCUUGCGCUAAUAGAUGAGCCUAAGUCAGAUUAGCUAGUUGGUGGGGUAAAGGCCUACCAAGGCGACGAUCUGUAGCGGGUCUGAGAGGAUGAUCCGCCACACUGGGACUGAGACACGGCCCAGACUCCUACGGGAGGCAGCAGUGGGGAAUAUUGGACAAUGGGCGAAAGCCUGAUCCAGCCAUGCCGCGUGUGUGAAGAGGGCCUUUUGGUUGUAAAGCACUUUAAGCGGGGAGGAGGCUACCGAGAUUAAUACUCUUGGAUAGUGGACGUUACUCGCAGAAUAAGCACCGGCUAACUCUGUGCCAGCCGCCGCAGUAACAC
rnacentral:rRNA from 1 species